rnacentral:rRNA from 1 species
CAGUAGCCACGGUAAUACGUAGGUGGCGAGCGUUGUCCGGAAUUAUUGGGCGUAAAGGGAGCGCAGGCGGACAUAUAAGUCCAUCUUAAAAGUGCGGGGCUCAACCCCGUGAGGGGAUGGAAACUGUAUGCCUUGAGUGCAGGAGAGGAAAGCGGAAUUCCCAGUGUAGCGGUGAAAUGCGUAGAUAUUGGGAGGAACACCAGUGGCGAAGGCGGCUUUCUGGACUGUAACUGACGCUGAGGCUCGAAAGCCAGGGGAGCGAACGGGAUUAGAUACCCCUGUAGUCCCUGUCUCUUAUACA